AUGGGUAGGGUCGAUCUUUCUCGUCUAAACUACGAGGCCAUUAGCCUGAUUCCUAAGGUGAAAGGGGCCGAUAACAUUAAGCUCUUUAGGCCCAUCACCCUGAUUAAUGUGCCUUUCAAAAUCUGUGCGAAAGCCUAUGCUGCACGACUGGCCCCGAUCGCUGAACGGGUUAUUAUCACUAGUCAGACGGGCUUUCUUAAGCGUAGGAACAUCUUGGAGGGCCCAAUUGCACUGCAAGAAAUCGUUCACGAGUUAAAGCGCACUAGGGCCCAGGGCGUGCUCCUCAAAUUAGACUUCGAGAAAGCUUAUGAUCGCGUGAACUGGGAGUUCGUGCGAGAAGUCUUCCUCAAAAAGGGUUUUGAGGCAGGUUUCGUGCAUCGCAUCAUGCACCUCGUGGGUAGUGGGCACACGGCGGUCACUAUCAAUGGCAACAUGGGCAAGUUCUUCCGUAACAAACGGGGCCUUCGGCAGGGAGAUCCAAGCUCGCCUCUUAUUUUUAACUUUGUUGCGGAUGCCUUGGCGGCCAUGAUUAACAAAGAGCGUGUAGCAGGGCAUGUUGAAGGGUUAGUACCCCACCUCAUCCCUGGUGGGGUCACGCACUUGCAAUACGUCGAUGACAUGAUGCUCUUGUUCGAGCCCGACGAUCAAAGCAUAGCUACCAUUAAGCUUCUGUUAAUCGCUUUUGAGAUUCUAUCAGGUCUUAAGAUCAAUUUCCUUAAGAGUGAAGUGAUCACCAUCGUGGUGGAUGAUCCGGAAAGGGCUCGGAUUGCCAAUCUACUUAAUUGCAAGCUGGGGAGCUUCCCGAUUAAGUACCUUGGCGUCCGAUUUCGACCAAGAAACUCUCCAUUGUGGAAUGGGAACCUCUAUAUGGGAAGGUCGCAAAUGGGGUGA
rnacentral:rRNA from 1 species